rnacentral:tRNA from 1 species
CGGGAUGUGGCUCAGGCUGGUAGAGCGCUGUGUUCGGGACGCAGAGACCGGAGGUUCAAAUCCUCUCAUCCCGACCA